rnacentral:snoRNA from 1 species
CUUUUGUGUAGUGAUGAUUCAUUUGGCAUAGUUCAUCUGAUACAUGUGAUGACCAUUGCUAAUUUAGUCUUUCGCUCCUAUCUGACACAAAUA